AGAGUUUGAUCAUGGCUCAGAACGAACGUUGGCGGCGUGCUUAACACAUGCAAGUCGAACGAGAAAGUUUCCUUCGGGAAGCGAGUAAAGUGGCGCACGGGUGAGUAACGCGUAGAUAACCUGUCCAGAUGUCCGGGAUAGCCCAUCGAAAGGCGGAUUAAUACCGGGUAUCUUGUUUUAACCUAAGUUAAACCAAGAAAGGUGGCCUCUAUUUAUAAGCUAUCGCAUUUGGAGGGGUCUGCGUACCAUUAGUUUGUUGGUGGGGUAACGGCCUACCAAGACUACGAUGGUUAGCGGGUCUGAGAGGAUGAUCCGUCACACUGGCACUGAAACACGGGCCAGACUCCUACGGGAGGCAGCAGUGAGGAAUAUUGCGCAAUGGGGGAAACCCUGACGCAGCGACGCCGCGUGAGUGAGGAAGGCCUUCGGGUCGUAAAGCUCUGUCAGAAGGGAAGAAAUGAUUACAGGUUAAUACCCUGUAUUCUUGACGGUACCUUCAAAGGAAGCACCGGCUAACUCCGUGCCAGCAGCCGCGGUAAUACGGAGGGUGCAAACGUUGUUCGGCAUCACUGGGCGUAAAGGGCGCGCAGGCGGUUUUGCAAGUCAGAUGUGAAAGCCCAGGGCUUAA
rnacentral:rRNA from 1 species